GAUGAACGCUGGCGGCGUGCCUAAUACAUGCAAGUCGAGCGAACGGACGAGAAGCUUGCUUCUCUGAUGUUAGCGGCGGACGGGUGAGUAACACGUGGAUAACCUACCUAUAAGACUGGGAUAACUUCGGGAAACCGGAGCUAAUACCGGAUAAUAUUUUGAACCGCAUGGUUCAAAAGUGAAAGACGGUCUUGCUGUCACUUAUAGAUGGAUCCGCGCUGCAUUGGCUAGUUGGUAAGGUAACGGCUUACCAAGGCAACGAUGCAUAGCCGACCUGAGAGGGUGAUCGGCCACACUGGAGCUGAGACACGGUCCAGACUCCUACGGGAGGCAGCAGUAGGGAAUCUUCCGCAAUGGGCGAAAGCCUGACGGAGCAACGCCGCGUGAGUGAUGAAGGUCUUCGGAUCGUAAAACUCUGUUAUUAGGGAAGAACAUAUGUGUAAGUAACUGUGCACAUCUUGACGGUACCUAAUCAGAAAGCCACGGCUAACUACGUG
rnacentral:rRNA from 1 species